UUACGAUAAUUUGGCGCUCAACCCUCUCUUCGUUUUGGGAAUUUAUGGUCUUUCAAGAAGAGUUGGAGAACCAUGGCAGGUAGCUACUUGAAAUAUUUGUUGGGUUAGCAGUUACUUGGUAUGUAGUUUGUUUAUGUACGGGGUUGAUGGACAUGGAAAACCUUCAUUGAUGUAUAUAUAUAACUUACUAUAUGUAUACACUUUAUAUUUGCAAGUGGGUUGGUGUACUAAUGGAUAUAUAUGUUUUUGUAUAUAAAAUACGUCACAAUUGACAGUUGCUAGGUA